GACUCGCGACCGAACGAGAUACUAUGUCAGAACCCAUACGCUGGGCGACGCGCGCGCGCGAUCCAGCGCUCGCGAGCGGCCGCACCCGAGUCGUCCGUUCGCAACACGUAUUAGUGGGACCCUUUCUUCGGCGAGCGUGGCCGGCGUAGUCCGGCGACGACGGGCCAAGGGGACGGGGUGCGAGCCGGCGGUAGACGGGCACCACAUCGACAGGCGAAGGGCGCGCGCACGUGAGGACAGAUGGGGACAGGAGAAGCUGGUCAACGGCCUGAGGAUGGCGAACGUCAGCGAGGCGGACUGCUACGUCUCCGGGGGGAAGGAGACAUACUUUCAGAACGGCAACUUUGUCGGAAGUGAUAUAGACAAACUUCAACCGGGCGACAAAGAAGCUCAGCCAAUGUGAAUAAAGGCCAAGUGCAAGACGGUAAAAUAACACCAAACAAGAGCUCAGGAUCUCUCUAACAUCUAGGUUAAACAAGCAGGGGGUGCAGCAAUAAUAGGCUCACCAUUGUAAAAGAUCCAAAAUCAAGCUGCAAAAACGUGGGUGUAUAGCAGAGUUUUUGCAAACUACAAAGGAAUCAUGCUUCUUAUUUUCUUUUUGCAAAAGAGAGAUGGACCUUUACCUGGUAA